CCGGUGGCAGGGUCUGGGGAAGCGGCGGCAGGCGCCAUGUCUGGCCGCGAAGGUGGCAAGAAGAAGCCACUGAAACAGCCCAAGAAGCAGGCCAAGGAGAUGGACGAGAUAAGGCUUUCAAGCAGAAACAAAAAGAGGAGCAGAAGAAACUCGAGGAGCUAAAAGCGAAGGCCGCGGGGAAGGGGCCCUUGGGUGGAAUUAAGAAAUCUGGCAAAAAGUAAGCUGUUCCUUGUGCCUGAGGAGAUGGUGACCCUUUAUUUCAUCUGUAUUUAAACCUCUCUAUUCCCUGCCAUAACAUCUUUUGCCACGUAUAGCUGGAAUUAAGUGUUGUCUUGGAGCUGUUGUACAUUUAAGAAUAAACUUUUGUAAAAAAAAAAAAAAAAAAUCUUACAGUGGCUCAUCAUCUCUUUAGUUGUUUUCACUAAGUCAUUCCUACCAUAACUGUGAAUUUAAAGUAAAACCAGCUCAGAAUCUUGCCAGAGUCUGUUCUUUGGUCCUUGUUCUACCCUAAACUUUGUAUCACCUGAAAUUAAACCAACUCAUUUGAAAGGAU
rnacentral:lncRNA from 1 species